rnacentral:rRNA from 1 species
UGGGCGAAAGCCUGAUGCAGCGACGCCGCGUGGGGGAUGACGGUCUUCGGAUUGUAAACCCCUUUCAGUAGGGACGAAGCGCAAGUGACGGUACCUGCAGAAGAAGCACCGGCUAACUACGUGCCAGCAGCCGCGGUAAUACGUAGGGUGCGAGCGUUGUCCGGAAUUACUGGGCGUAAAGAGCUCGUAGGCGGUUUGUCACGUCGUCUGUGAAAUCCCUCGGCUUAACCGGGGGCGUGCAGGCGAUACGGGCAGACUUGAGUACUACAGGGGAGACUGGAAUUCCUGGUGUAGCGGUGAAAUGCGCAGAUAUCAGGAGGAACACCGGUGGCGAAGGCGGGUCUCUGGGUAGUAACUGACGCUGAGGAGCGAAAGCAUGGGUAGCGAACAGGAUUAGAUACCCUGGUAGUCCAUGCCGUAAACGGUGGGCGCUAGGUGUGGGGUCCUUCCACGGACUCCGUGCCGUAGCUAACGCAUUAAGCGCCCCGCCUGGGGAGUACGG